AUUGCAGGUGAUGCCUGCCCGGUGAUAUCAGGUUAACUGGCCACUUCAUAAUAACCUCGCAUCGGUGACUUUCUUGUGAGUGACGUGAUCCGAGACCAGAACGGAUGGCUAAACGAGGUCUUAACUGUCUCUUACAGGCAAUCAGUGAAAUUGAUCUCCCUGUGCAAAAGCAGGGAUAACCACAUAAGACGAGAAGACCCUGUGGAACUUCAAAAACAGCAACCACCCUAAAAUACAUACACACCCACCCCGGGCUCACUUAACUUACAGGUGACUGGUCUGCAUUUUUUCGGCUGGGGGGACCCUUGGAGCAAAAUAACAAAACCUCCCCUAAUAUUAGACCAUUCCUCUUAAAACUGGAGAGCAACUCCUUCCUCGUGCUUACAUAAUAUACCGGAAUCCCAAUUAAAAUUUGAACCAAUGGGGACCCAACCUUACCCCCAAGGGAAUCAACCCGUGUCCAAUCACCCUUUUCGUAACAGUCUCAUAAUCGGCACGGCGGUAAGCUUUUUACAAACCCUCUUAUCGC
rnacentral:rRNA from 1 species